GGGGGCCCGGGAGAGCCGCGGAAGGAGACGGGAGACAGCAGAAGUCAUCAUGGUGAAACAGACUUUCAAUGGAAAAUCAUCCUGCAGCUUCAGCUAAAGCGGAGAUUUGUGACAGGAUAAAACCCCAAGGUAAUUUUUAAGAGGAAGAUUCUUAAUGACCUCUCCCAGCUUGUGAGGCAAAGGAUUUCACAUUCCAAGUGGUUUAUGAGUCUUGCACCUGCAGGUCAGCAUAGUAAUCAGUAGCAUGACAAAUGUAGGGCUGGAUCUUGCAAUGUCACAUGAGCUAUCUUUACUCAUACUUGCAGUCCCACUGAGCCUGAUCCUAAUCCCCUUAAGCAGGGCCUAAUUCUGAUCCCAUUGAAGCCAAAUAGCAUUUAGCUAUCGAUUUCCAUGAAAAUGGGGCUUGCUUAGGAAAAACUCCUAUAGAAGGCAGGGAGAAUUUUUCCUCAGUAAUGGUGCAGCAGACAAUAUUGAGAAUAUGGCUUACUGAGUUAAUUGGUACAACUCAGUUGAGUAAGGGAUGUAGGAUAGGGAUUUGAAACAGUAUGGAAAAUGUUGCAUGCUGGGAGAGGAUCAAAUCUCAAUUGUCACUUAUUCAUAAGUCUCCACAAUAAGGAACUAAAAUUAAAUUGUCCAGAUCACAUUAUUGAUGUAUGUAUCAGUUAAUAACAUGAGUAACUGGAUGUGAUAGCAACCAGACAUCUAAUAUGAGGUCAUCAAUAUUUCAAAAUGAAGCCUUGUCAAUGCAAAAUACAUUAAGAAAUCUCAAAGUAUCUGUUUCUGUAUAUAUAGUAUUUAAUUAAACUGAUUUAUUCUCUUACAAAGAGACCAGGUCAAUAUCCUCAUCUAGAAAUAAAAACCAUAGCUUGUUAUGCAUUAAAAAGAGACCUGCAUAUUUGGCUCUAAUGUCAUUUCUCUUUUUAAUGUUAUAAACAGGUAUUGCAAAUAUUGUGAGGCAUGGAGGCCUUUUAUCCAAUUAAACUGAGUAGGACUUUUCUCCAAGCACUGUAUUUUGCACAAGAUAGAUUUUUGGAUCUAAAUUUAGUUAGUUACUCUCAUUGUAUUAUUCACGUCUCAUCAUAAUACUUCAUAGAGUUACUCUGACAGUGCCUGAAAGCAUAUAUGAUGUAUACAACUCUUUUUAAAAGUCAAAAGAAAGCAGGGGGAUGAGGUGGAUGAGGCUGUCUUCAGGCAACUAACAAAAGUUACUAGAUCACAGGCCCUAGUUCUCAUGGGGGACUUCAGUCUUCCCAAUAUCUGCUGGGAGAGCAAUACAGCAGUGCACAGACAAUCCAGGAAGUUUUUGGAAAGUGUAGAGGACAUUUCCUGGUGCAAGUGCUGGAGGAACCAACUAGGGGCAGAGCUCUUCUUGACCUGCUGCUCACAAACAGGGAAGAAUAGUAGGGGAAGCAAAAAUCGAUGGGAACCUUGGAGGCAGUGACCAUGAGCUGGUCGAGUUCAGGAUCCUGACAGAAGGAAGAAAGGAGAGCAGCAAAAUAUGGACCCUGGACUUCAGAAAAGCAGACUUUGACUUUCUCAGGGAACUGAUGGGCAGGAUCCCCUGGGAGAAUAACAUGAGGGGGAAAGAAGUCCAGAAUAGCUGGCUGUAUUUUAAAGACUCCUUAUUGAGGUUUCAGGAACAAACCAUCCCAAUGUGUAGAAAGAAUAGUAAAUAUGGCAGGCGACCAGCUUGGCCUAACAGUGAAAUCCUUGCUGAUCAUAAACACAAAAAAGAAGCUUACAAGAAGUGGAAGAUUGGACAAAUCACCAGGGAGGAGUAUAAAAAUAUUGCUCGGGCAUGCAAGAGUGAAAUCAGGAAGGCCAAAUCACACUUGGAGUUGCAGCUAGCAAGGGAUGUUAAGAGUAACAAGAAGGGUUUCUACAGCCAUGUUAGCAACAAGAUGUUGAUCAAGGAAAGUGUGGGCCCCUUACUGAAUAGGGGAGGCAACCUAGUGACAGAGGAUGUGGAAAAAGCUAAAGUACUCAAUGCUUUUUUUUGCCUUUGUCUUUGCGAACAUGGUCAGCUCCCAGACUAUUGCACUGGGCAGCACAGUAUAGGGAGAAGGUGACCAGCCCUCUGUGGAGAAAGAAGUAGUUCAGGACUAUUCAGAAAAGUUGGAUGAGCACAAGUCCAUAGAGCCAGAUGCACUGCACCCGAGGGUGCUAAAGGAGUUGGUGGAUGUGAUUGCAGAGCCAUUGGCCAUUAUUUUUGAAAAGUCAAGGUGAUCAGGGGAGGUCCUGGAUGAUUGGAAAAAGGCUAAUGUAGUGCCCAUUCUUUAAAAAGGGAAGGAGGAGGAUCUGGGGAACUACAGGCCAGUCAGCCUCACCUCAGUCCCUGGAAAAAUCAUGGAGCAGGUCCUCAAGGAAUCAAUUUUGAAGCACUUAGAGGAGAGGAACAGUCAGCAUGGAUUCACCAAGGGAAAGUCAUGCCUGACUAACCUAGUUGCCUUCUAUGAUGAGAUAACUGGCUCUGUGGGUGAGGGGAAAGCCGUGGAUGUGUUAUUCCUUGACUUAAGCAAAGCUUUUAAUACGGUGUCCCACAGUAUUCUUGCCAACAAGUUAAAGAAGUAUCAGCUGGAUGAAUGGACUUUAAGGUGGAUAGUAAGUUGGCUAGAUCAUGGGGCUCAACAGGUAGUGAUCAAUCACGCCAUAUCUAGUUGGCAGCCAGGAUCAAGCAGAGUGUCCCAAGGGUUGGUCCUGGGGCUGGUUUUGUUUAAUAUCUUCAUUAAUGAUCUGGACGAUGGUGUGGAUUGCACCCUCAGCAAGUUUGCAGAUGACACUAAACUGGUAGGAGUGGUAGAUAUGUGGCAGGUAGGGAUAGGAUACAGAGGAACCUAGACAAAUUAGAGGAUUGGGCCAAAAGAAAUCUGAUGAGGUUCAACAAGAACAAGUGCAGGGUCACUUAGGACGGAAGAAUCCCAUGCACUGCUACAGACUAGGGACCAAAUGGCUAGGCAGCAGUUCUGCAGAAAAGGACCUAAGGAUUACAGUGGACGAGAAGCUGGAUAUGAGUCAACAGUUUGCCCUUAUUGCCAAGUAGGCUAAUGGCAUUUUGGGAUGUGUAAGUAGGAGCAUUGCCAACAGAUUGAGGGACGUGAUGAUUCCCCUCUAUUCGGCAUUGGUGAGGCCUCAUCUGGAGUACUGUGUCCAGUUUUUGGCCCCACACUACAAGAAGGAUGUGGAAAAAUUGGAAAGUCCAGCAGAGGGCAACAAAAAUGAUUAGGGGGCUGGAGCACAUGAUUUAUGAGGAGAGGCUGAUGGAACUGGGAUUAUUUAGUCUGCAGAAGAGAAGAAUGAGGGGGGAUUUGAUAACUGCUUUCAACUCCCUGAAAGUGGGGGUCGGGGGGGUCCAAAGAGGAUGGAUCUAGAGUGUUCUCAGUGGCAGCAGAUGACAGAACAAGGAGUAAUGGUCUCAAGUUGCAGUGGGACAGGUUGGUUUAAGUUGGAUAUUAAGAAAAACUUUUUCACCAGGAGAGAGGUAACUGGAAUGGGUUACCGGGGGGGGGGGAGGGGUUGGAAUCUCCUUCCUUAAAGGUUUUUAAGGUCAGGCUUGACAAAGCCCUGGCUGGAAUGAUUUAGUUGGGGACUGGUCCUGCUUUGAGCAGGGUUUUGGAGUAGAUGAUCUCCUGAGGUCCCUUCCAACCCUGAUAUUCUAUGAUUCAGUAGCUUUCACUGCACCGGCAACAAUACCACUCUGGACUAUGAUAUUAUUAAAUCUCCUAGUCUAAGGGUUGGUCAAUAUUUGACUGGGGAAGCUCCCCUGAAAAUCCAGAUGCUGCAGGAAGUGAUUGUGGUGAUUAAGUAAAUGAUAUGCUUUUCUCUUACGUCAUUUCUGAAUCAUCGUCCCAACAAGAUUUCAAGAAAGCACCAUACUCCCAACUAUGCAGCCUUUUGUAUGAGUUGUGAAUCCAAGUACCAGUAAGAUGUAGUCCUUAAAUAUCCCAUGGCACUUUUACCAAGGGUAAAAGCGUUAACUCAUGUGUACUGAGCAAAUUCCAGUUUAUAUAGUUAUAUUUUUCAUACUUAAAUUCCUCCUGUAAAUUCGCUUUGGUAUAGAUUCUUCCCUUCAUAAGCUUGUGUAAUGUGUUGUACACUGUUAAUCAGCUGUUGCAUUUCACCCCAGAGGUGACAGCCCUUCAGCAAUGGGUAACGUUCCUUUCUGUAGUUUGUCCAAUUAGUAAAGUUGAUAAAGAGAUCCAAGUAGCUGAAAGGUGCUACAAAAAUUAUGACAUGAUUUCUGUUUAUCUUAAAUCAUUCAGUUGUUCAAAGUAGCACUGGAGAAACAACCUGCAUGAUAAUCUUCUGGGCUUCCGAACAUCUUUGCUACAGAGGGGACAUUUACCAGUAAUGCUGUUCAGUGUUCAUAUGUUCAUUUACACAGUAUUCUUCUAUAGAAACAACAUGUUUCUUGUGGUAGGGAAGCCAAUAUACCUACAGACAGCUCCUCAUUUCCCUUUGACUAAAAUGAUUAAAAAGAAUGAUAUACUUUAGGUUUGAUGGUUAAGGAAAGUGAUUUAAAAAUGAAUGUACUGUGUACCACAACAGUAUUGUACAACAGCUGUUCUAGUGUCCCUAUCUUCUCAAUCAACUAUAGCCUACAGUUACGGGCCUGUCAAAAGGAGUUGAAAUUAACUUUUCAUUACAACCCUAACGACUAGAAGCUAAUUAUGUUAGUAUAAAUUACUAGUGCUCCUCCUGCUUAUACAGGCCUUACUUGCCCUAUUAAUUAGCUCAGAUAAUGAAUGAAUACUUAAGUGCCUGUGGUUACAAAAUAUAUAUCUAAGUGACAUCUCUUAUUUCUGCUUUAUUCCUCUGACGUAUGUCCUGCAGCUAUAUUGAGAUACCAUUAAAACUCAGGGAUGAUAUUCCUUUAAAAAAGCAUGGAAUGGAUUAUUUAACUUCUGUGUCACAGUCCUCAGCCUCCAUGUGGCAUGGAAAUAAAAAAUAAUUUGAGUACAGCAGGACACUCACUGUCUCCAGUCCUGAAAUGUAAUGCUUUCCGGAUUUCCAUAAUGGAUUUUUUUUUGCAUAAACUUAAAAAUGUAAAGCACAAAAGCAUAAAAUUCUGCAUUAAAAUACUAUUGAAGGAGGAACAAUUAACAAGAGCCAGGGAAUUCUCAGUAAGAACUUAUUAAACCAUAAAUGAUUCUUAGCCCAGGGCUAGCACAUAAUGUUACACACAACGUACAAUGUGAUUCUUAGGCACCAAAGAAGAAGUCAGGAACCUUCACUCUAGGUAAUAUGUCUGUAUUUUGCAUUGAAUAGGGUUCUGUAUUUGAUUUAGUGAGGGCGGUAAGUUUUAUUAGGAGACAUUAAUACCCAAGUUAAUUAGAACAGAAAUAUGCUGACAAGUUGUUUCAAAUGACACUUUAAAUUGAAGUAGAGGUGCCCAAAUUUUGCAAUCCUGAGGACUGCCGAUGGGGUUCACCUAACUUGUAUACACUGUACUGUGUAGGGCCAGUUCUUUAGCUAGUGUAAUUCAGCAUAGCACUGUUGACGUCAGUGGAGCUACAUUGAUUUUCAGCAGCUGAGGAUCUGGCUUUAUAUGUUAACAAUUUUUUUCAAAAAUAAAUGCCAGUAAUCCUAAAUUUGUCUGAUUUGUAGUAUAACACAUCUGGGCUUGCAGAUCUUGUCCUUUCCCUGGAAUUAACAUUUUAGGACUGCCCAGCAUCCCUUGGCCUCUUUGGCCAUUCUUUGAUCAAACCAAGUUUAAAGUCUUGAUGGUAACCCUGGGCCAGAAUCCAAUCUCCAUUUUAGCCCAUUGACAUUACUCCAAAUUUACCCUAGUAUAACUAAGGCCAGAAUCUGGCCCCUUGUAUCUGUACUGAAGACUGCCAACAAAUACCUUUAGAAGCUGCUGUCUGUUCACCUAAAUGGAAAAAAAUGUGCCCAAGACAUGUCUGUACCUGUUAAGAGGCUUGAGAACUAUGAUUUUACUUUAAUCGUGCAAUCACCGUUGUACUACUUUGGGAUCAUGUUUAUUUGGGUAGCUUUACACAAACUUUUAGGGGACAAUUAAUCAAAAUUUGACAUUUCUGAUUGUCAAUAGCUCAAAUCUAUUCAGACCUGAAAUUCAUCCUCAAGCCAGAUUUUGUGAAGGACAGCUCUAGAAACUUUGGCUUCAUUUGUCUGAUCAGACUAUUAAUACCAGAACACUAAUGCAUCUGAACUGUCACAUAUAGCUACAUUCCUUUCAUAACCCAAACAAGGGCUUUACCCUUUAUAUAUGCCUCUCUAAUAGUUUUAGUAGGAUUAAAGCCAAGCAUCUGAACACACAUGACCUGUCUUUCUGCUGCCUUGCAUCUUUUGUAGUCUUUUAUAUCUGUAGAAAGCGGAUGUGUAAUGCUACCAGAUCAAAAUGAUACCUUGUACUGGUGAAAAUGACAUAGAAAGUGCAAGACAGUGGGGAAUUGGGGCCAUAAUGUAUGCAUGAAGCUCUACAGACUGAUCCAAAGUUCAUUAAAGUCAAGCCAGAAAAUUCAAAUGUAGCCCAGAAGUGGUUAAUUAAUGUGCAGCAUCCAAACACUUCCGUAUUAGUGAGAGUGCUAGAUUUUCAGUCAGUUUUACUUGCAGUAAUCUAUAUUUACACUUCAUUCUAAUGUGCUGGUAUCUUCUGACAAUCAAAUUGGCAUUACUUUUCUGAUAAAAAAAUGAGUGAAAGGGUACCUCUCUACAAAAGUGGAAUGAUGGCUCAGGAAGGAGAAUCUAGAGGUCUUCAACACUAGCUGAUAAUGCUGAACCCAGCACAGUAGUGACCAAAAAUCAUUACCAAUAGGUGUUUGGUGGCACAUAGCAAAUGUUGGUCUCGGGCUGCUUCCCACUGGAAGCUUAGUGGGGAUAUGAAUAGGGGCAGAUAUUCCAGGCAUACUGGAUGGCUCAGAAGUAUGUACAUAGUUCGGAAUGGGCAAAAGAAGCAGAUAGGUAGACCCAUAUUUUAAAAGAUGGAUGGAUUUUUUCUUAGUGUACUAACUCAUCAGAUUACUCCCUUGUAAGUUCAGAAAGGGUCUUUAAAUAAAACAAGUCUGAGAGCUUAUUGCUGAGUGGAGGCAGCUGUCACUUCCUUCCCCACAAGGUGUGUCCUCACAUGCACUUCGGAAACCAAAUUUUUGCCAAUGUGGCAUGAGACAUGCAGGCAAAUGCCAAAUGGAGUAACCAUGUCACAUCCCUGCAAACCCAUCUUUUUCACUUUUCUUUGCAGAGCUUAACCAUGUACAUCACCCCAGCUUGAUGCAAUCCCACCUUUUUAACUUUCUCUUUGCAAAGCCUAAGCAAUGUGACCACCUGCUGCUGCAGCUCUCUUUUGAUUAGCUUGUAAAGAAUGCUUUGCUUGAAUCAGCUGGGGAUCCUCAGAGUCCUCCAGACAAAAGACUCAAGCAAUGAUUGGGAUUGUGGUUUUCUUAAAACUUCUCAGGGGAUUUUUUGGGGAGGUUUCAAUUCAGCAGGCAAUGGAUAUAAAUUCAGUUGAAUUUUUAAAAAAUGAGUUUGUAUUUUAUUCAUCUUUGGCUGAUAUUAGCAGAGAUGGGCCUGAUGUCCCAGUAUGAUCUUUCCUGUAUUGUGGUGGGAAGCAGUGAAGACCCAGUGUUUUGGUUCUGCCCAUUAUAAAAAUAGGGGACCAUUUGCAAAAUUCAAACUUACUUAAAGUUCAGGGCUGUUCAGAUUUGGGAGUAUGCCUCACGUUCAUCUUUGAUAUUUAUUGACGUUGAGUUGAUAUUUACAGUUCUUUCCAGAAUGCUUUGUUCAGCAAGACGCCUAGUUCUUAUUAACUUCUUCACUAUAUGGAUAAAUCACAUUCAAGUUUUCCCACUCCGUGCUUUCAAGCAUCAUCUUGCUGCGACCUUCGUUUAAAAAAAAAAAAAAAAAAGGCCAAUACGCUACUUUGCAUGAAAGUUAAAAAUAAAAACAGGUAAAUAUAACAUUUUGGAAGAAAUAGAAAAACCUUAGGAUUUGAAAACUGAGACAUGGGGAAAUUUUUGGCAAUAGAAAUAAAAAGUUUGAGCCUCUUGUCUAUAGCUCAGACUGUUUUCUGCAUCCUCAAAAAUCAUCUGUAUAAAUUAAAAUAUAAACAUCGUUUUAUAAAUUCUUGAA